rnacentral:rRNA from 1 species
UACGGAGGGCGCAAGCGUUGUUCGGAAUCAUUGGGCGUAAAGCGCGUGUAGGCGGCCAUUUAAGUCGGAUGUGAAAGCCCGGGGCCCAACCCCGGAACUGCAUUCGAUACUGAGUGGCUGGAGUCCCGGAGAGGAAGGCGGAAUUCCAGGUGUAGAGGUGAAAUUCGUAGAUAUCGGGAGGAACAUCAGUGGCGCAGGCGGCCUUCUGGACGGUGACUGACGCUGAGACGCGAAAGCGUGGGGAGCAAACAGG